UGGGUGGCUCAGUCGGUUAAGCCUCCAACUUCGGCUCAGAUGCAGUACACAAGGCUCUUUCCCUCUGUCUCAGGUUCAAUACCAGAUUAUACUGAAGUCAGCUAAUAAACAAUGGAGAAGCAACAACCCCUCCGAUUGGUGGGUUUGAGAGAAGGAACUGGGCACACCUGGCCCCACUGCUCACACCAGAAGAGGUUGCUUCUCGAGACUCCUCUAUGCUUGCAAGUGAAUGAAGAUAUGAUGACUGGAGUAAUGGCAAUCAUGAGAGAAAAUCAUAGAGACAAAAAGAAAAUAAUCGAGACACCAUCCCUGAUAUCACUGAGAAGUGAACCAGUAUCAGCAACUGUC